GCCCUCAUAGUUCAAUGGAUAGAACACCGCUCUCCUAAAGCAGUGAUAUGAGUUCGAUUCUCAUUGGGGGUACC
rnacentral:tRNA from 1 species